rnacentral:lncRNA from 15 species
AUGUUGAACUGCCAUGAGUUUCUUGGCCACCAUAGUUUCUCCUACAGGCUUGGAAGAGACCUAUCUGAAUACAUCAAGAUUCAUGUUUUAUUUUACUCUAAUGAUGAUCAGCUUUUCGGCUUUUGUGUUUUUUUUGUAACCUUUACUCAAUGGUCCCUGGAUUAGUACACGUGAGUGUACGAGAGUAAUCUGCUGAAAAGGUGACCUUGUAAAACCAGUCUUGAUGUCUUGUCUCCCUCAGUGCUACUUUUAAAAGAAAAGAGAAAAAAUAACAAUUUUCCAUGCCUGAAUUGUUUGCAGUUGAUCCAGAAUUUGAGCUGACAAUAUUUCACUUUUUUGUUCUUAAAGAAGAUGCAGAUUGUUCCUAUGAGGUAUUGUGUGUUUCAGUCUGACUUGUGCAUCCCCUUCUCAUUAAUUCUCACCAUUUCUCAUUAAUCAAAACCCAUCAAAACCACACAUCCUUGUUAUGAAGCAUUAGUCGAUAAAUUCCUUGCGUGAUACACCUACAGGAGUGUUCAACAGGUCAUUGUUUCACACCUCAUCGCUGCCCAGACAGCCUUAGAAAAAUUGUGGUGUUCAAACAUGAAGUGUAGAAACCUCAUGUAAUUAUGUCAUGCUGAGGUGGUUGAGUUUACAUUUAUCACCUGUGGAGACUUUUUUAUUUUUAUGGGUCGUGUGACUCAAGUCAGACCUGUGAGACUCUGCAGAGCGCCACUGAAACUUCUGUCAAGAUAAUUAUGUUGCCACCUAUUGGAGUGCUGCUGUAAAAACAGUAGGACCAAGUCACUGUACACAAAUGAACAUUUGAUGAUAAAAAAAUGAGUCUGUCAGCUGUUAUAAGUACAGUAUGUAAAUACUGUAUUGAAGAAUGUAUUGUUGAUUGUGUAUGUAUUUGAAAUCAAAUUAAUUAAUAAAUGUUGUGUCUCGCCAAACAAAGAAAAGUGUUGAUGUCUCUGCACCAAUCUCCUGUGUAAUGUUUGCACUUGUAUGUGGAAAAGAAAUUUGUUUCUAGUACAUAAUUUCUGUAAAAGGCGAUAUAUCUACUAAAGAAGAACAAGUCUGACUGCAGGUUUGGCUGC